AGGCUUUAUUUCUUGAACACAAGUCAAACAUAAAACGAAGUCUAAACAUUAAACUGGAAUUGUAGCAUGAAACGAGAACAGGACAUGGAACCUUAACCUUAAAAUCUAUACACUCCAUUACAGCUUUACUCGUUACCACACUUAAUACUGCGCAACAUGCACAGCAACACAUGGGGUUUAACUAACAAAUGCAAUCAAACAUGAACUCAGGCAGCUGGAAACAAUUAAAACCCACCUUUGCACCUCCGCCAAUAACUGAACAGGGAUGGGACAGAACAGAAACCAAAACAAGUGCACGUGUCCAUUGUAAAUAAAAGUCCCUAUCGUCCAAGCGCACUCACAGUGCGUGCAUGUGCACGUCCUCCGGCUCUCCGUGCACGUCGCAUGCCACAGCGCCAUCUGCAGUGGAGAUUGUGACAUAUGUAUGUGUGUGUGUAUGUGUGUGUGUGUAUAUGUGUAUGCAAACUUAAUGACUUAAAAGACUCAAUGAAUUAAGAAUUAAGCCAAAAUGAUUUUACUUGUGAAACUGAAUUACUGUGUACUAUCAAACAUCCUUUGACGCAAAUAAUGAACCUUUUAAAAACUUAAACUUAAAAGCACUUAAUAGUGACAAGCAACUAUCUGUCUUCAAACCAAGACAUGAGUGCAAACACCAUCAAGCCCGAUUUCCAAAAUAGCAGAGAUGACUUCUCAAAGCACGAGUAGGAAAACAAGGGUGUGUGGCCUAGAAAAAAAUACUUGAAUUUGUGAAAGUAAAUUUAAACAAUGCAAUCAGUCUUUUGUGUAUAACACAGCAUGUGGGCAUAUUUUGUUUUUUCUGACAUUCCACUUAUCAGGUCGUCGUACAUCUCCCAGACAAAUGGAGACCUCCUGUAGUAGGCCACAUAAUGUCCAAGAGCAUCCUGGGUUAAGCCUCCUCUGAAAGCAUUGACUGCCCUUAAAGUAAAUCUCUCUCCUUGGAGCAUCAGAUUGGAGGGAAAUUCACACAAAGAAAAUUCUGUGGACGUGCUUCACAGGUCAGUGUCAAUCCACAGAAGUUCUCCCAGAUUGUAACCGUGAUAAACUUUCCCUGCACAGAGCACUUUUCCUGAGGUAGAGUCUGUCUUGACUGCAGAGGGACACUCUUACGGACUUUGGAUUGGCCUGAGGCAGGGGGACUCCACAAGGUUAAGGCCUUCUUCCUCUGCGGUCUGAAGAUGAGUCAUGCCAGAAGUCUGCAGUACAGCAACAGAAAUAUAAACAAAUGGAAUUUCCCUUGUGACUUCUGUGCUGAGACUGCAAUACUGUGAGGAACACUGUUGUGUGAAGGAAACACAUGCAGGUUGUGUCAUUGACUUUUCAAUGAUAGUGGAGAUGUGGCACUGUGCAUCGAUUUGGAGAGUUUGAUUUGGAUUGUUUUCACAAGCUGGAGGAGGUUUUUGGAGUCCUCACCGCAAACAAUAUUUCCAAAAGUUACACUAUAAGCAUAACAUAAGAAAAAGCAUUGACAAAAACAGAACAGAGAUUCUUGAUUUCCUGAGUUUAACAGGCUGUUGAUUAUUUCCAUUUUUCAAUAGUUCCACUUUCACUCUUUUCCCCCUCACGGAUGGAUCUGCAUGGAGCCAUUCAGGACAAGGAGAGAGGUAUGACUUCCUCUUCCUCUUUUUGGAUGGAACCGCUAGGCCUCUCCAGUUUUCAACAGCGUCUUCAUCUGUUGGAUGGAUGUUUGUGACCGUGUCAGAGUUCCCAGAACAGGAAGCAUCCAUUUCUGCUUUUCCAUCUACACUGCAAGUUGUGAAAAAAAUAGCAUAUUGCCCUGAAUGAAGGACAGAUGUCGAGCAAUGAAUCGAUCCACCCGAAUAGGCAAGUUGUCAUGCUUGAAGAGCCCACGUUUGAUGUUUUUGAACUCUGCUUGAACACUGGCUGAACUUGCGGUGAUGUUGGUGCUUCGGAAGUGAGGGCUCAUUACCCCGUCCAGAGUAGUCUGUCUGUGUUUGGUCAAAUGGAUCCACUUCUUCCAGGUCCUGACCCUCUACAUCUGGAAUGAUUACACACUCUUCUGCAAUUCGGGCUUUCAGCAGUCCCACUGGCAGAUCGUGUUGAUGCAGUGUACAACAUCAACCCGAACAAAACAAGGUGGCACUUUUGCUGACACUUUACCGACAUUUGCACCACUGGGACACUUGAACUCUCAUCCCCUGCCAGAACACCCUGAUAUAAGAAGAUAUAUGCCAUUUGGUCUCUGUAGUUUCCUCACCACUGAGCCAGUUACAUCAAAACUCACAGUGGGGGUGGCCAAAUUAGGAAGAUGGCUUGGCUCAGGAUCUCCAAAAUCCAUCAGCUUUGUUCCCUCUGAUGCCCUCCAUACAUGGGGUUCCAUUCUACCCUCGCACAGUGUUAUGACCCCGGUCUAGGGUCGAGGUGUAACAUAAAAGAAAGUAUAAACAAAAACAAAAAUGAGGUAACACACGUCUUUCAAAUCUUUGAUAUCUACAAAUUUAAUGAUUACAAGAAAGAAAGAAAGAAAGAAAGAAAAAGAAAGAAUCAAUCCAAAACAAACAAUCACCAAGAAAACUAAUCUCUUCAGGGCUGGGCAAGGCCAAAAUAAUAAACAGAACAGUCACUAUCUUGUCCCAUAUUUAAAUUACCUAACAAAAAAAGGUAUUUCAAAAGAAAAUACAGAGUCUAACCUGACUCCCUAACUGAGGAAAAAACAGUGAACAAAAGAUACACCCAAAAAUAAACAGCACCCAACCCCUCCCACUUUCGUGAUGAGUAGAGAAGAAAUAUUUACAAUGAAAGAUAUAUUUACAAUAAAGGCGUACACUCAGCCACAACAAAAGACAAAACAGGGGAAUGGGACAACACAAUAUCCUACCACUCACUUCUUUUAUUCACCCACAAUACAACAAGCAAGCGAUUUCACUCAAACACAGGGAAAAAUAUUCGCUACUCAAUAGUAUGCACUCAAUCACAGACACACCACAUAUCCACAUUCCUCCUGACAUAUCGUUCUUCCACUUUUUAAACAACGCACAAUCUUCUCCUCUCCAAUCCCAGUGCAGCACGUCAGCAUGUUGAAUUAGGGCGCAGCGACCUGUGAGAGCGAAACAGGGGGAGGGAGAGAGAGCGAGAAAGAGAGAGAGAGCACACACACACAAUACAUCUCCUGACGUUACACACAGUUCUUUGGCUAUCUGCACACGCAAGUUACCAGACAUCGCACACUUGGAACAGCCAGUGUGCAGGGAGUCAUCAGUGUUUUUAAUUAAACAAUUGAGCACCACUGGGCUUUUCAUUUCGGGGUCUCUAUCACAUUUUAUGUGAAUGUGGCCAUGACAUUCCUUACAGUUGCCUCUGAUUUCUAUUAAUUUCUCUGUGGCUGAUGGAUAGAUCUUGGCUCUUUUAAAGAUAAAUGUGCAGGGUCUUUUUGCUUCUUCCCUAAUAUGAUGAUUUAUCACAUGUGGCAAGAUGCUAGGCUUCAAAAUUGUGUAUUCCCUUUUUUGUGCUUUAGAGAACUUGUUUUUGCAUUGAACUGUUUCGGGCAUGAAUUAAAUCAAUUUCUGAAAUGGAACUUGAAGAUCAAAAGUCCAGCAGUCUUUUGGUCUGGGGGAAAGGGACCCUGCCUCAAAAUCAGUGUCAUCACUACUGCCACUUGUUUCAUGAUCACUUUCAUAAAUAAACCCUAAAGCAUUCCAGAUGUUGUGUCUGUUCAUUUUAACAAAAGUAUAUAGAGCCUUUGCAGUGAUCUUGUUUUCUAGCUGCUCACUAAGCUCUGUCCAGAUGCUCUGAUUAGGAGUAGCUAUGUUGCCAUUUUGGACUAUGGCCUCUUUUGAUGAACAGAGGACUGUGAAGAUGGAAUCCCUGUCGACUGCUGGUUUCUUGGGCAUCUGGCAUAAGCAAAACAUAAAUACCCACUGAAAUAAUCCUGACGCAAAAAAUGUCAUAUACAGUAUAAACUUGUUUUCAUGUAUUACUGUAUUUGACAGAAUACAAGGAAAAUAUAAUAUAGUAAAAAUAUAUAAGGAUAUUAUACCUUAUAUUAGGACCAAUAUGGUAAUGUUGACCCCUAGAUACACAACAUAUUAAAAAAAACUAACAUGGGUACCAUGUAACAUGUAUCAUGGGUACCAUGUACCAUGUAAUUAGCAUUUCAUAGCUACAUUAGCCAUAUUAGUAUUAGCAAUGAGUUUUCUGUUCAAUAAACAUUGACAAUCUUAGCUCUCUUGAAUGUUGUACCAUUAUGAUUGAAGUUAACUAAUAAUAUUGUAACUGACAGUGAUAAAACAUUGUACUUACACUGGCCAGAAUUUUGAUUCAGUAACUAUAUCAACUUUUCCAAUACUAACAACACUAAUUUCCAUGAGAGCAUCUUGAACAGAAGUGUCACUUACACCUAGUGGUGGCAGUGAAGUGUAGUAGAUGAUUCUCCCUGUAAAUAAUCAAAAGUUCAAUCAUGAGAGACCAGUGAAUGAAGUAAAGAGAAUUGUUUAUUGAACAAAUUAUGAUA